UCAAGCGAAUAAGUGCAUAUGAUGGAUGCCUUGGCGAUCACAGGCGAUGAAGGACGCGGUAGCCUGCGAAAAGCUACGGGGAGCUGGCAAACAAGCUUUGAUCCGUAGAUGUCCGAAUGGGGAAACCCACCGUAGUAAUACGGUAUCCCAUGCUGAAUACAUAGGCAUGUGGAGGCGAACCGAGUGAACUGAACCAUCUCAGUAACUCGAGGAAAAGAAAUCAACCGAGAUUCCGGAAGUAGUGGCGAGCGAAACCGGACCAGCCUGGAUGUUUUAGCGUAUUGAAUAGUCGAAUGGAAUGGAAAGUCCAGCCGUAGCAGGUGAUAGCCCUGUAGGCGAAAUUCAGUACGUGGAACUAAGCAUCGAACAAGUAGGGCGGGACACGUGAAAUCCUGUCUGAAUAUGGGGGGACCAUCCUCCAAGGCUAAAUACUCGUGAUCGACCGAUAGUGAACCAGUACCGUGAGGGAAAGGCGAAAAGAACCCCGGAAGGGGAGUGAAAUAGAUCCUGAAAUCGUAUGCAUACAAACAGUAGGAGCACCCUCGUGGUGUGACUGCGUACCUUUUGUAUAAUGGGUCAGCGACUUACAUUCAGUGGCAAGCUUAACCGAAUAGGGGAGGCGUAGCGAAAGCGAGUCCGAAUAGGGCGGUUCAGUCGCUGGGUGUAGACCCGAAACCAGGCGAUCUAUCCAUGGCCAGGUUGAAGGCACGGUAACACGUGCUGGAGGACCGAACCCACUAAUGUUGAAAAAUUAGGGGAUGAGCUGUGGAUCGGAGUGAAAGGCUAAACAAGCCUGGAGAUAGCUGGUUCUCUCCGAAAACUAUUUAGGUAGUGCCUCGUAUAUUACUGCCGGGGGUAGAGCACUGUUAUGGCUAGGGGGUCACAGCGACUUACCAACCCAUGGCAAACUCCGAAUACCGGCAAGUACAGUACGGGAGACAGAGCACCGGGUGCUAACGUCCGGACUCAAGAGGGAAACAACCCAGACCGCCAGCUAAGGUCCCUAACUAUGGCUAAGUGGGAAACGAAGUGGGAAGGCAUAGACAGUCAGGAGGUUGGCUUAGAAGCAGCCAUCCUUUAAAGAAAGCGUAAUAGCUCACUGAUCGAGUCGUCCUGCGCGGAAGAUGUAACGGGGCUAAGCCAUAGACCGAAGCUGCGGAUGUGUACUAUGUACACAUGGUAGGAGAGCGUUCCGUAAGCCUGUGAAGGUGUUCCGUGAGGAAUGCUGGAGGUAUCGGAAGUGAGAAUGCUGACAUGAGUAGCGAUAAAGGGGGUGAAAAGCCCCCUCGCCGUAAGUCCAAGGUUUCCUGCGCAACGUUCAUCGGCGCAGGGUGAGUCGGCCCCUAAGGCGAGGCAGAGAUGCGUAGCUGAUGGGAAGCGGGUUAAUAUUCCCGCACCGUCGUAGAGUGCGAUGGGGGGACGGAUUGCAGAAUGUUAUCGGGGUGUUGGAUGUCCCCGUUGGCGCAUCAUAGAAGGCACUUAGGCAAAUCCGGGUGCGUAAUUCAAGGGUGUGACUGGAUAGAGCUUCGGCUCUAAACUAACUGGAAGCAGUUCCAAGAAAAGCCUCUAAGCUUCAGCUCUACGAGACCGUACCGCAAACCGACACAGGUGGACGGGAUGAAUAUUCCAAGGCGCUUGAGAGAACUCAGGAGAAGGAACUCGGCAAAUUAAUACCGUAACUUCGGGAGAAGGUAUGCCUCAUUAGUGUGAUGUGCCUGCGCACAAAGCAUGAAGAGGCCGCAGUGAAUCGGUGGCUGCGACUGUUUACUAAAAACACAGCACUCUGCAAACACGAAAGUGGACGUAUAGGGUGUGACGCCUGCCCGGUGCCGGAAGGUUAAGUGAUGGGGUGCAAGCUCUUGAUCGAAGCCCCGGUAAACGGCGGCCGUAACUAUAACGGUCCUAAGGUAGCGAAAUUCCUUGUCGGGUAA
rnacentral:rRNA from 1 species